AUAUCAGUGCCCUGGUAACGAACUCGCGCAUCUGAGCUCCCGAAUUGGUGAGCGCACUAGAAACAAUACUUGGUAACGUCAAUCAAGUUAAUAUAUGAAUUGUUUACAACAUUAAGGACUGUGUUUUGAGCACAGUCAGUUGGAACUUGGAAGUUGAAAAGAAAAGUCAGAAUUUCCAGCAGAAUUUGGGAGUAUAUAUAUAUAUUAUAUAGUCGCCGGGAGAAGAGAAGAUUCACAACAUACUGAAAAACAUUGCGAAGGAUUUAGAAGCUAUUUAGAAAAGGUAAGGCACACACCAACUAAUGCAUAUUGCAUAUUUAUAGCUAACAAGACGCGUUAAGCCGGUUGCUCUGUAUUGAGCGUUAUGUUAACGUUGCUCAAGCUUAAAUGAAGCUAACAGCUGUAAGGUCUCAGUUACGACCAAAGGAAAGCUACCAAAGGUUACCAAAGGCUAGGUCUUGCUU